ensembl:lncRNA
GUCGCUUGCAUACACAUGCGCCCUUACGAUCUCGCUCUCUUUUCCUCUCUCUCCGCCGGCUGCAGUGCUUCUCUUCUCAUCCUUGCAGCCUGGCAGCUUCAUCCGUGUUCCUCCCUCCUAGAUGGAGAAACACGCACAGCCUUUCCAAUGGUCCCCCCACCCCUCUGCGUGCCUCCCUUAAAAAAACCCCCAGGCCCCUUAAACAGCUCCUUUUCCUACUUGUCUCGGUGCCUGAUCACCAUUCGCUCUCCUUUGCACUUCACUUACAUUCUUAUUUUUUCUCUUUUUUUUCCGUUAAAUAAUUUGCCAGCUCUAUCCCACAAAUUUUCACAUUCAUAAUGUGAAAGCAGUUCAGAGUGCAGAAUGAACAGUAGGAAAUGGGAUGGGUAGGAGGAAAAAACGCUAAGAGGAGAGAAGUGACUGGGAUAGCGGAGAGGAGGAAGGAUCCGGAGCAACGGGAGAAAGAGCCGAACGUGGGAUCAACGAAACCGCGGGAAAAGGAGGAGGAACGACCAGACUGAUCUCAGUUCUUAUUCAGCUGGAAGAAAUGCCAGUUACAUAAAGGGCACCAUUUACUGCCAUUAUACAGCUUGGAAGAGCCAGGACAAUUUUUAAUAUAACUCAGAUUGGAUUCGUUUGAAAGAGGAAUUUCAGAUACACCUAAGAUGCCCUGAGAGAAUGCUGUGGAAAUACAGUUUGGAAUCAUCAUUGUUACUCCUUCUUCAAGACCGGAAUGAUGGAAAGAAUUUCAGCAUGUACGACUAAAUAUCAUUUGGAACAUCAUGUGGGUCGCAACCUCAGAAGAUUUGGAGACGGCACUCGAUUUGAAGAUUUGGAGAAGAAACCGUCAUUGUGAGAGUGAUGCAUUUACUUUUUUUGUCAAAUGACAAAGGAAAGACGGAAGGUAAAGAAGUGUCGUCAUCCGAGAUUAGUAUGCGGCUACUUCUACUCCACGUUACCUGAAACGGCACCCCAGAUUUUCAGACAUCCGUGAUAUCAGCUUCAGACCACUUUGACGCAGCUGUCGGGGAUGGUACCCAUUGGCUGACUUUGUGCCCUGACCACUCGGAGCGACCAAUCCAAAGCCAGCCUAGGUUCACGACCCCUAUACAUUUCUCCCGAGGCUUUGAUGCGAAUCUGUUCCAUGAAACCAUUUUACGGGCUAGCCUGCCAUCUUGUGCUCAUUAUUGUCAAACAUUUUGGUGAUGGAUAUUGCCCCGGAGCGGCUCAUAUGAGACAUGGUGUUUUUAUUCUUUUUCUGCAGUGAAGAUAAUUAGAUUUUAUAGCGUGAGACAGCGUGAACUUUUAAGAGAAUGUAUAAGCGUUGUUUGUUUUUCAAUUAGAUACAGUUUGGUACUAUAUCUGUAAAAUAUGUAGGCAGUAUGAUUCAUUACAAGAUUCAUCAAGUAUAUCAUUAGUAUUAAAAUAUAUCAUAUGGAGCAUAUUUUUCUUAUGUGUCCAUUAUCCAAUGCAUUCAUUUACAAUUUUUGCAUAACCUGAAAUCACAAAAUCUGAUCUAAAACCUUAUACAGUGACCUGAAAAUCAAAGCAAACUCGUGGAUAAUCCUUGACCGUAUUAUAUAAUAUGCAUCACAUUUUCUCCCAACCAUAUGUUUAUGUCUUUUGUUCUACUCAGCGCCUCAAGCCAUGAAACCAAACCAUUAUGAUUAAGUUAUGUGCAACCCAGAGACUAUCUGGAUCUGAGUAGGCAAAGAGAGACUGUCCCACUCCUUUCUGCUGGUGCUUUGAGACAUCAGAUACAGAACAUCAACCUCCACCAUCUGGUAUGCACUAAGCAGUGGAUUCAUUAAACAGCUAUACCAGAAAACUGUUUCACAACAAUGCAAAAGAACUGAUGAGACUGAGCAUUGAAAUCAGCAAGUGGUCUCCUAAAUGGUCUCCUUCAGACAAACAAGGCGGGGUGCCAAAUAGCCUUUUUUAUUUAGAGCAUAUGUUCAUUUUGAAAGCC